rnacentral:tRNA from 1 species
GCAGUCGUAGUUCAAUGGUAGAAUGGCAGACUUUUAAUCUGUAAGAUGAGGGUUCGAGUCCCUCCGGCUGCA